rnacentral:rRNA from 1 species
UACGUAGGGGGCAAGCGUUAUCCGGAAUUACUGGGCGUAAAGCGCACGCAGGCGGUUCGCCAAGUUUGGAGUGACAGUUGUCGGCUCAACCGACAAAGGACUUCAAAAACUGGUGAACUUGAGGACGAGAGAGGAACAUGGAACUGCAGGUGUAGUAGUGGAAUGCGUAGAUAUCUGGAAGAACACCAAUGGCGAAGGCAAUGUUCUGGCUCGUUUCUGACGCUCAGGUGCGAAAGCCAGGGGAGCGAACGGG